AGUGAGAAUGCCGGAAUGAGUAGCGAGAAUUAUGUGAGAAUCAUAAUGGCCGAAAGUCUAAGGUUUCCUGAGGAAGGUUCGUCCUCUCAGGGUUAGCCGGGAGCUAAGGUGAGGCGGAAACGCGUAGCCGAUGCACAUACGGUAGAAAUUCCGUAGCCUCCGAAGAUUUAAGCACAGGGACACUUUUGAAGGGCUGAGCCGGGCGUUGGUUGCCCCGGUCGAAAGGGACACGAUUGAGUGGAAGUCAGUUUGGAAAGAGGCGAGAAAAGCUGUGUGUAUAUGGAAGGAGCCCGUACCGCAAACCGACACAGGUAGACAGGAAGAAGAUUCUAAGGCCAGCGGGAGAAGGGUUGUUAAGGAACUCGGCAAGUUGACCCCGUAACUUCGGGAGAAGGGGUGCUUACGAAGGUAAGCCGCAGAGAAUAGGCCCAAGCGACUGUUUAGCAAAAACACAGCUCUAUGCUAAAUCGAAAGAUGACGUAUAUGGGGUGACACCUGCCCGGUGCUGGAAGGUUAAGAGGAGAUGUGAGAGCAUUGAAUUGAAGCCCCAGUAAACGGCGGCCGUAACUAUAACGGUCCUAAGGUAGCGAAAUUCCUUGUCAGGUAAGUUCUGACCCGCACGAAUGGCGUAAUGAUUUGGGCACUGUCUCAACAGCCCGCCCGGCGAAAUUGUAGUACUGGUGAAGAUGCCAGUUACCCGCAACUAGACGGAAAGACCCCAUGGAGCUUUACUGUAGCUUAAUACUGAGGAUUGGUAAUUGAUGUACAGGAUAGGUGGGAGACAUGGAAACAUUGGCGUCAGCCAGUGCGGAGUCACCCUUGGGAUACCACCCUUCAAUUGCUGGUUUUCUAACCUGCGGCCGUGAAUCCGGUCGGGGGACACUGUUAGGUGGGCAGUUUGACUGGGGCGGUCGCCUCCAAAAAGGUAACGGAGGCGCUCAAAGGUUCGUUCAGCACGGACGGAAAUCGUGCAGUGAGUGUAAACGCAGAAACGAGCCUAACUGCGACACCGACGGGUGGAGCAGUAACGAAAGUUGGAGUUAGUGAUCCGGCGGUAUGUGCGUGGAAAUGCCGUCGCUCAACGGAUAAAAGCUACCCUGGGGAUAACAGGCUGAUC
rnacentral:rRNA from 1 species